GACGAACGCUGGCGGCGUGCUUAACACAUGCAAGUCGAACGAUGAAGGAGAGCUUGCUCUCCGGAUUAGUGGCGAACGGGUGAGUAACACGUGACUAACCUGCCCCUUUCUCUGGGAUAACGCUCCGAAAGGAGUGCUACUACCGGAUACGAACUCUGAACACAUGUUCGGAGUUGGAAAGUUUUACGGAAAGGGAUGGAGUCGCGGCCUAUCAGCUUGUUGGUGAGGUAACGGCUCACCAAGGCGACGACGGGUAGCCGGCCUGAGAGGCCGACCGGCCACACUGGGACUGAGACACGGCCCAGACGCCUACGGGAGGCAGCAGUGGGGAAUAUUGCACAAUGGGCGAAAGCCUGAUGCAGCGACGCCGCGUGAGGGAUGAAGGUCUUCGGAUUGUAAACCUCUUUCAGUAGGGACGAAGCGAAAGUGACGGUACCUAAAGAAGAAGCACCGGCUAACUACGUGCCAGCCGCCGCGGUAA
rnacentral:rRNA from 1 species